GCUGUCCUCACAGAGAUGUGAGGAGCUGUCCAAGGAGCUGUCCUCACAUAUGUGAGGAGCUGUCCUCACAAACUCCAUUACAAGAUGGCACCGGCAUCCGGCAGAACGCACCUAGUAAAAAGGGCAAUACGCAGGUGCCUGGUAACUUCCCUACUCAAAGGGACACGUACGUUUUGGUACGUCAUCUGGCAUAAUUGGCAGCGACCAGUCAGAGAGUGACACGUCCUAGGCGAGGAUAGUUUCCUAUAUAAGGGACGGUUAUUCCUCACUCGGCGUCUCCGCAUUGUAAGCUUAUGCUCUCCCUCUCAAGACGCAUUAAAGCUUUUCUGUAGUAGGAUCCUGUGUGUGCCGCGUCGUUCCUGCUGGCGAGACGUAGCGCGGGACAUCUGGUGCCGAAAACCCGGGAAAGACCUCACCAUCGUCAGCACCUUCGGAGAUCCCUUGGCGACAAGGAGGAUUCAGAACUGCAGGUUGGAAAGUUUAGUCCAAAUUCUCUCAGAAUGGAGUGCUGCUUUUUUGUGAACUGCCUUGGUAUAAAAAUCCAUCAGCAUCCUCUCAGCAUCUACAUUUCCCGUGCCAUGUGUGAUUACAUCAAAAAGAACCUUUCUUCUCUCCUUCUUGAAGCCACAAAGGACAGCCUCAGAAGCACGUGUUCCUUCAUGGAGACCGCACUGCUUUCAUCAUGACGUCUCCUGCAAGUGCUCUAUUGGUUUGUUUCCGGUUGUUAAAGCAGUUUUACUCUUUUUUUAUUUUGUACUCUAUUGGCUUCUUUUUUUAACCAUCUCCCAUUGUAUGUUGAAGGUUUUAUAAAGGAACUUUUAUUGGACUUUCAAUAAAAAGGAUUCUUUAG